CCUACGGGGGGCUGCAGUGAGGAAUAUUGGUCAAUGGACGAGAGUCUGAACCAGCCAAGUAGCGUGAAGGAUGACUGCCCUGUGGGUUGUAAACUUCUUUUAUCAGGGAAUAAAGCGAGGCACGUGUCCCUGUUUGCAUGUACCUUAUGAAUAAGGAUCGGCUAACUCCGUGCCAGCAGCCGCGGUAAUACGGAGGAUCCGAGCGUUAUCCGGAUUUAUUGGGUUUAAAGGGAGUGUAGGUGGGUUGUUAAGUCAGUUGUGAAAGUUUGCGGCUCAACCGUAAAAUUGCAGUUGAUACUGGCAGCCUUGAGUACAGUAGAGGUAGGCGGAAUGCGUGGUGUAGCGGUGAAAUGCUUAGAUAUCACGAAGAACUCCGAUUGCGAAGGCAGCAUGCUGGACUGUGACUGACGUUGAUGCUCGAAAGUGUGGGUAUCAAACAGGAUUAGAUACCCCAGUAGUC
rnacentral:rRNA from 1 species